UGUGCCUUGUGGUCAAAUGUUCUACCUACUGUGGUGGCUGCUCAUGCACCUCGGAUGUUUGAUAAUGGGCUAUGAAUCUAC
rnacentral:pre_miRNA from 12 species